GACGAACGCUGGCGGCGUGCUUAACACAUGCAAGUCGAACGGGCCCGCUCUCUUUUUUGGGGGUGGGUUGAGUGGCGAACGGGUGAGUAUCACGUGAGUAACCUGCCCCCUGCUCCUGGAUAACUGCUUGAAAGGGCGGCUAAUACGGGGUGUGCCGGCUGGUCCGCAUGGGCCUGGUCGGGAUAGUUUCAUCUUCGGGUGUUUCGGUGGGGGAUGGGCUCGCGGCCUAUCAGCUUGUUGGUGGGGUGAUGGCCCACCAAGGCGGUGACGGGUAGCCGGCCUGAGAGGGUGAGCGGCCACACUGGGACUGAGACACGGCCCAGACUCCUGCGGGAGGGAGCGGUGGGGGGUAUUGCACAAGGGGCGGAAGACUGAUGCAGCGACGUCGCGUGAGGGAUGGAGGCCGUCGGGUGGUGAACCUCUUUCUCCGGUGGUGAAGGCCCUGUCCGUUGCGGCGGGGUUGACGGUAGCCGGGUAUGAAGCGCCGGCUAACUACGUG
rnacentral:rRNA from 1 species